GGAGGAUGAGGCUUGAAAUUUAGCCCAAGUUCUGCUCAUAAACCUUGGCCCUGACCCUGGCUACAUUGCACAAAUUCUACAAGCCAAGAUGUGUCUAUGAAGCUGACGCUAACCAGAGGCGGAAGAGCAUUACAAAUUGAGUGAAGCUCCUAGUUGGGUUAACGGCAGCCCUGGCCCCAGGAUCUCAAAAGCAGCCUGAAAAGCAGAUGAUGACAAUGGAACAUGGAUAUGCAGCCCCUGGGGCGAACCUGAGUGUUUGAAAUGCAUGGCAACAAUGUUUAAUUCAUGGCAACAAUGAAUCAGUGCUCUAAGGAAGAAAGAAGUGAAUGGCAAGAUUGCACUUGCCCUCACAGGACUGCCAGCCAGAAACUACAUUUCCCAGCAUCCCUUGCAGCUUGGUAUGGCCAUGUGACCACAUUCUCAUUAAUACAGGGUGAGUGUGCCACAUCCAACUCUUUUGUUCAAAAGAAAUUGCUUUUCCACUUUCUGGAAGCUUUUGAUGUAGUUUUGAGCAUACAGAAGAGGGCUGGUUUAUUCUAAGUAUUGGGAACCCCUUCCUAAGGUCAAACUCUGAGGUUUAGGAUGUCAAAGCAUAGGCUUAUCAAAAAAGCUUCUGAUCACACACACACACACACACCGUUAAUGCAACAUUGACUUCCUCUAACAAGGCAAGUAGGGAGAGAGACGAUAGCGGGAGAGAUCUGGCUGGUCAGUCUUUCUCUGCCUCCUUUGCUGCUGACCCCAGGCAGUGUGUCUAUGACCUCAGCUAGCAAGAUUAUUUUCUCUUGUCCAUAGAAGGAGGUUGGACUCUCCCCCAUACUGCAUGUCAAAAACUGUAAAAGCCAGGUCAGCAUUCUUCAAAAAGAUUUAUGAGAUCAAUGCUCCGUGCUCAGUAACAGUAGAGCAGAGCAGUCUGGACUUCUAUGCAAAACCUUUCCUUAGAGAACUGGGGGUUACAGCAGCAAGCAGAACUGGGGGUUACAGUAUUAGCUUAGAUACACAUUGGUGCCUCCACAGGCUUUCUUUCCAAUGCAGACAACUUGUUUACACUGCUUGCUUUUUGAGUAUAAACAUUAAAAAAACUUUUCUUUGUUUCUUUUUUUUUUUUUUUGAGACAGGAUCACAGGAUCUCAGGAUCUCACUCUGUCACCCAGGUUGGAGUGCACUGAUGUGAUCUCAGCUCACUGCAACCUCUGCCUCCCAGGCUCAAGUGAUCCUCCUACCUCAGCCUCCAGAGUAGGUGGGACUACAGGUGCAUGCCACCCUGCCUGGCUAAUUUUUGUAUUUUUUGUAGAGACAGGGUUUUGCCAUGUUGCCCAGGCUGGUCUCGAACUCCUGAGCUCAGGUGAUCCACCCACCUUGGUCUCCCAAAGUGCUAGGAUUACAGUCAUGAGCCACUGCACCCA